rnacentral:rRNA from 1 species
UCGCUACUACCGAUUGAAUGAAUUAGUGAGUUUCAGGGACAGUUUGUCUUGCUGGCGUCUGUUGGCUUGACGAAUUGAAACUGAUGCUAACUUGUUUGUUUAGAGGAAGUAA